rnacentral:rRNA from 1 species
UACGGAGGGGGCAAGCGUUGUUCGGAAUCACUGGGCGUAAAGCGCACGUAGGCGGACUUUUAAGUCAGGGGUGAAAGCCUGAGGCUCAACCUCAGAACUGCCCUUGAUACUGGGAGUCUUGAGUAUGGUAGAGGUUGGUGGAACAGCAAGUGUAGAGGUGAAGUUCGUAGAUAUUUGCUAGAACACCAGUGGCGAAGGCGGCCAACUGGACCAUAACUGACGCUGAGGCACGAAAGCGUGGGGAGCGAACCGG